CGAAAUCGGUAGACGCUACGGACUUAAAAUCCGUUGGCUUGACCGUGAGGGUUCAAGUCCCUCUACCCCCA
rnacentral:tRNA from 7 species